UACGUAGGGUGCAAGCGUUGUCCGGAAUUAUUGGGCGUAAAGAGCUCGUAGGCGGUCUGUCGCGUCUGCUGUGAAAACUCGGGGCUUAACCCCGGGCCUGCAGUGGGUACGGGCAGACUAGAGUGCGGUAGGGGAGACUGGAAUUCCUGGUGUAGCGGUGAAAUGCGCAGAUAUCAGGAGGAACACCGGUGGCGAAGGCGGAUCUCUGGGCCUUACCUGACGCUCAGGCGCGAAAGCUAGGGGAGCAAACGGG
rnacentral:rRNA from 1 species